ACUGUGUGCAUUUUGGUGUUGUGUGUUUGCUGUCCUGUCCUUAACAACAGCUGAGGAUGCAGAGAAACCGGCGGCCGGACGAAAGUCUCGUCAGGCAGAAGAGGAGGCGCUUGAAGGAGUGUGGGGUCCAUGGAGUGAUUGGGCGGAGUGUUCUCAGAGCUGUGGAGUGGGCGUGUCUGAGAGGCGGAGACAGUGUAUGCCGCCGCCCCAAACCCCACCUCUUAUGUGGAACCGACCGGCUUACGUUCCACCAGGUGUCCCGAACAACACCCCUGUGAUUUCUGCGGUAAGACCCUACUUCAACUCCUUGUAUCCCGUCAACGAGCCACCUCCAUUUGGAACAGGGGGCGCUGGGAGGUCUCCAUACUUUUCCCCGCCUCUCCAAGCCAAUCCAAAUCCUGGAUUACCGCUCUACCGAAACGAAGCCGCUGGUGUUGGGUCAGUGCAGUUCGGCUCACCCAAUCAGGAGCCGGUUUCAGUAUACCGUUCACCUUCCUCAUCCGCUUCACUUCCCUACGGGAGAGUUCCCGCACGGCCGCCCAAUCACGGCAGAGCUGUAGGCAGUGGGAGCAGGAGGUCGGUUUCCACCAAUAGGAAUCCAGCAUCUGUAAGAAGGUCUAGUUCUUCUAUUCGUCCCGGACAGUUUGGGUACGGCAGGGUGCCGUUCUCUCUUCCCUUACACAGACAAAACCGUCACACUCGACACACACACCGCCACAACACCACCAGCACAGACAGUCUGGAUGCUCUCAGUGUGAACUCCAGUGCACCUGUGGAUAAAACACAGGGAGAAGAGGGACUAAUGAUCACAGACACCGUUAAUAGAGAACCAAAGGAGAAGGAAAAGAAGACGGAGGCAGCAGACGUGGAGAGUGAUGUGGCAGCCGAGAAAACAAGUGAUGGAGAGCCGCACAGACAUGUGGAGAGAGUGCGGGAACACGAGCGAAUCACACAUACACAGCCCCUGACCCAAAGACAUGUGGCCCCGCGACAGACGCAUCGAUGGACGCUCUUCUCGCCAAGUCCCACACUCCUACACACACACUAUCCACCGAUCACACACUCCCAGAGAGCCUCCUCCCUACGGCCUCCAGACUCCCACAAACCCCAACCCCGAGCCCUGGGUCCUGCAGAACGCCGCCCAGCCCUCCAGAAACGAAGCUGACAGGGACGCCCACAACUACAGAUGCUCCGGACGGGACACAGAGUACCGCAGGUGCAGCCUACAGGCAUGUCCAGGUGCUCCAGUAAGCUCCAGGGCCGAGCAGUGUGCAGCGUUCAACAAUCAAGAGUUUAUGGGACGCGUGUAUGACUGGGAGCCUUUCACAGAAGUGGGUCUGGAGCAGCAGUGUGAGCUGACCUGUCGACCGGUCGGGUAUCGUUUCUACGUGCGACAGGCGGAGAAGGUACGAGAUGGAACGCCCUGCGCAAAUAACACACCCAACGAUGUGUGUGUGGGAGGACGCUGUCUGAGCGAGGGCUGUGACGGUGUGUUGGGCUCAGGGUUGGUCCGGGAUCGCUGUGGCAUGUGCGGCGGGGGAGACAGCACCUGUGAGAGGGUCACAGGAAGUUUCCUGAACACCAGCGUCCCACUGGGCUACCACAAGAUCCUGAACAUCCCACCCGGAGCCACGGCCAUCAACAUCACUGAGAGACGAGCCAGUCCCAACUAUCUGGCCCUGCGCAGUGGAACGGGUCAGUCAGUGGUGAACGGACGCUGGGCGGUCGAUCCUCCAGGAGAGUAUCAGGCUGGAGGAACCACCUUCCUGUACAGCCGACCCAAAUCUGGGCCUCAAGAGCAGGGAGAAGAGAGAGGAGAAACCCUCAGCGCUCCUGGACCCACAACAGCCCAGCUGCAGCUAUACGUAAGUGGCUUCUCAGUGGAAGUGGAGAAUCCUAUUGCUGCUCCUCCUGUGUCGUCUUCCGCCUCCUCACCUCCAUUUUCAUUCCCUUCCUCCUCAUCUUCAUCAUCGUCUUCCUCUGUAUCUGAUCGAUGGCCACAAGAGAGGCCCCGCCCACAGGGCUUAGGACCCAAUCGCAACGCUCGAAUCCCUCCAAGAACGGACCUCCCAUUGGACAAUCAGCCUGCGUUCGUGUGGCGAAGGGGUGCGCUGACAGAAUGCACUGCUACCUGCGGAAAAGGCUCUCAGUACAGAGAGAUUGUGUGUGUGAGUCGACACACAGAACAGGAAGUCCAUGAGAGGAGGUGUGACUCUGCAACCAAACCUGCGCCGGAGGAGGAACCGUGUAACGUUCAUCCCUGUCCACCGUUCUGGGAUAUGGGCGUGUGGUCCGAGUGCAGUGUCUCCUGUGGCUGGGGUGUGCAGCAGCGUCACAUACAGUGCAGGCAGAGUUUUGGGAAUCGCUCCACCAUGGUUCACCCUCAGCGCUGUGCCAGUCUCAGCCGCCCAAACGCCACGCAGCCCUGCCACCCACACGUCUGCUCGCACUGGGAGAUCAGCACCAACUGGAGCACGUGCUCAGUGGAUUGUGGACUGGGAAAGAGAUCCCGGAGCGUGCGCUGUGUCAGUGACCAUGGCAACACUGUGAGUGACAGGGAGUGCAGUGACAGGCUCCGCCCACAGCACACCGAGGACUGUCACAUGGGUCCUUGUGUCACGAACUGGUACUUCACGGACUGGACAAACACUUGCUCUGCGACGUGUGGGCCGGGCGUCCAGCGGAGAGAGGUGGUGUGUUUGAUCGUCGGGAGAGGAGACAGAGAAGUGAAGUGUGCGGGGGAGAAACCGGCUGAUAUGAAGGCCUGUAACGGGGGCCCCUGUACACCCACCCACCUCUGGUACACCGGACCCUGGGGACAGUGUAACGCAGCGUGUGGAAGCGGCACCCAGCGCAGGGACAUCAUCUGCGUGAGGAAGACAGGAAGUGACUUCACCGUGAGCGCUGCCAGUGAGUGCUCACACCUGGAGAAACCGUCUCCCGUGCAGCCGUGUGAGCUGCAGCCCUGCACACCGCAGUGGUUCACCACCGAGUGGAGCGCGUGCUCUCGGUCCUGCGGUGAAGGGGUGCAGACGCGGGAGGUGCGGUGUCUCACAGCUGACAAACAGCACAACACAGCCUGUGAUCUGGACUCAAGACCUGCCCAUGAGCGCUCCUGCAACACCAUACCCUGCAGUCCCUUCGAAGAUGAGAACUGUAAGGACAGAAGACAUAACUGUGUAACGGUGGUCCAGGCUCGACUCUGCGUCUACUCUUACUAUAAGAGCGCCUGCUGUGCGUCCUGCACCCAGAGUGCUCAGCGGUUUGAAAAUGUUAACGCAUAUGGACUCAUGGGCUCAAAUGAUUGA
ensembl:lncRNA